rnacentral:rRNA from 1 species
GAUGAACGCUGGCGGCGUGCCUAAUACAUGCAAGUCGAGCGAACGGAUAGGAAGCUUGUUCCUUUGAGGUUGGCGGGGGACGGGUGGGUAACACGUGGAUAACCAACUUAUAAGACGGGGAUAACUCCGGAAAACCGGUGCUAAUACCGAAUAAUAUUAAAAACGGGAGGGUUCAAAGGGUAAUGAUGGUUUUCGUGUCACUUUUAGAUGAAGCCGUGCCGGAUUAGCUAGUUGGUAAGGUAACGGCUUACCAAGGCAACGAUACGUAGCCGACCUGAGAGGAUGAUCGGCCACACUGGAACUGAGACACGGUCCAGACUCCUACGGGAGGCAGCAGUAGGGAAUAUUCGGCAAUGGGCGAAAGCCUGACGGAGCCACGCCGCGUGAGUGAUGAAGGUCUUCGGAUCGUAAAACUCUGUUAUUAGGGAAGAACAAAUGUGUAAGUAACUGUGCACGUUUUGACGGUACCUAAUCAGAAAGCCACGGCUAACUACGUG